AUACGGGCCUGGAAGGUGGGCCGAGAGUCAGUCAUCAACCAUUUCCAGAGAAGACCUGACCUGAUCAUUCCACCAUGGCUAGGACAAGGAGAGUCAGACGUCGCCACCUAAGAAGCCAAUAUGAAAUGGAGGAGAGAAGGUCAGGUGUGAGAUCAGGUGUGAGGUCAGGUGUGAGAACCUCCCGGCCCAGGCGACGCAUGGCUAGGCGGAGGAGGAGAACUACCAGAGGCAGCAGGAGGUAUAGUACUCGUCUGAGACGGUGGUGACCUCCCAGCUCCAGGCCAGAACCCUCCAGGACCCACAAACCUGUGAGAACCAGCCAGAGAAGACCAAGAACAGAUGAUCCAACAUAGGAAUCCACAGGCCUCAAACAUCUUUCAAGGCCCAUCAUUGUACUGUUUUGAGUGUAAUUAAAGUGACUUAACCAGA